rnacentral:rRNA from 1 species
UACGGGGGGAGCAAGCGUUGUUCGGAUUUACUGGGCGUAAAGGGCGCGUAGGCGGUCUGCUAAGUUGGAUGUGAAAACUCUGGGCUUAACCCAGAGCCUGCAUUCAAUACUGACAGGCUAGAGUUCUGGAGGGGAUAGCGGAAUUCCACGUGUAGCGGUGAAAUGCGUAGAUAUGUGGAGGAAUACCGAUGGCGAAGGCAGCCUCCUGGGCCAACACUGACGCUCAUGCACGAAAGCGUGGGGAGCAAACGGG